rnacentral:rRNA from 1 species
GACGUAGGGGACGAGCGUUGUCCGGAUUCAUUGGGCGUAAAGCGCGCGUAGGCGGCUGGGAAAGUCGGAUGUGAAAAUCCGGGGCUCAACCCCGGACCUGCAUCCGAUACAUCCCGGCUAGAGGUAGGUAGGGGAGAUCGGAAUUCCUGGUGUAGCGGUGAAAUGCGCAGAUAUCAGGAGGAACACCGGUGGCGAAGGCGGUUCUCUGGGAAUGACCUGACGCUGAGGAGCAAAAGUGUGGGGAGCGAACAGG